UACGUAGGGAGCAAGCGUUGUCCGGAAUCAUUGGGCGUAAAGCGCGCGUAGGCGGCUUUGCAAGUCGGGUGUGAAAUCCCCAGGCUUAACCUGGGAACUGCAUUCGAGACUGCAUUGCUAGAGUAUGGGAGAGGGAAGUGGAAUUUCCGGUGUAGCGGUGAAAUGCGUAGAUAUCGGAAGGAACAUCAGUGGCGAAAGCGACUUCCUGGACCAAUACUGACGCUCAUGUGCGAAAGCGUGGGGAGCAAACAGG
rnacentral:rRNA from 1 species